CGUGUUACAAUGGGGGGUACAGAAGGCAGCUACACGGCGACGUGAGGCUAAUCCCUAAAUCCUCUCUCAGUUCGGAUUGGAGUCUGCAACCCGACUCCAUGAAGCUGGAUUCGCUAGUAAUCGCGCAUCAGCCACGGCGCGGUGAAUACCGGUUCCCGGGCCUUGUACACACCGCCCGUCAAGCCAUGAAAGCCGGGGGUACCUGAAGUGCGUAACCGCGAGGAGCGCCCUAGGGUAAAACUGGUGAUUGGGGCUAAGUCGUAACAAGGUACC
rnacentral:rRNA from 1 species